rnacentral:RNase_P_RNA from 1 species
UGGGUCGGCUGGACGGUCGCGUGGCGGGUCUCCCGCACCGAGGAACGUCCGGGCUCCACAGGACAGGACGGUGGGUAACGCCCACCCGGAGUGAUCCGCGAGACAGUGCCACAGAGAGCAGACCGCCGGCGUCCGCGCCGGUAAGGGUGAAAGGGUGGUGUAAGAGACCACCGGGGUCGUGGUGACACGAUCCGCACGGUAAACCUCGUCCGGAGCAAGGUCAGACAGGGGAUGCAGACGCGGUCCGCCGAGUCCCCGGGUAGACCGCUGGAGCGGCACGGCAACGUGUCGCCGAGAGAGAUGGCCGUCCACGGGGCUCACGCCCCCGGACAGAACCCGGCGUACAGGCCGGCCCAUUCG